rnacentral:lncRNA from 1 species
CUUUUCCAGAGAUUCAUAAUUUUAAGACUCCAGCGUUACUUCUUUAAAACCUUUUAAUAUAUCAUAUUCUUUUUCUUCUUAGUUAAAAAAAAACCCCAAAAAACCCAAAAAACAAACAUUCUCCUUCACCCUGUAAACCCCAAAACUGCCCAGCAGGAUCAUUGCAUGGGAUCUUAGAUUCCACUUGUCUGUGUUGUAGUUCUGCUUGAGGUCCAGUUUUCCUGUUUUCCUGCUGACCUGACAACAGCAGCGUAUUUUCUGUCUGCCUGAAGAUCACUGGAGAAGUGCCAGUCAUAAUCUUCUCCUUAUUGAUUCUGAGCUUGCCAUUGCAUUAAGAAACUGUCUUGGGGGCACAGAUCUUCCAUUGGUAAAUUGUCAGCACUCCAGUGAAGCCAGUGAGGCCGAGGACCUGCCUGGCUCUGCAAUCAAGCCAUCAAGUAAGUAUUUCCUGUUGGGGAUAAUCUAUUUGGUAAAUAUGGAGGGUUUCAUCUUACCAGAAAUAUUUUCGUCCUUCCCCUUUGAAUUUUUGUACUGAAUACUAUCUGGUCAAUCAAUAAAUAAACUGAUCAGCUGCCCA